rnacentral:rRNA from 1 species
GACGAACGCUGGCGGCGUGCUUAACACAUGCAAGUCGAACGGAAAGGCCCUGCUUGCUGGGUGCUUGAGUGGCGAACGGGUGAGUAACACGUGGGUGAUCUGCCCUUCACUUCGGGAUAAGCCUGGGAAACUGGGUCUAAUACUGGAUAGGAGUCAUUUUCAGUGUGUUGGUGGGGAAGAUUUUUCGGUGUCGGAGUUGCUCGCGGCCUAUCAGCUUGUUGGUGGGGUAAUGGCCUACCAAGGCGGCGACGGGUAGCCGGCCUGUGGGGGUGGACGGCCACAUUGGGACUGAGAUACGGCCCAGACUCCUACGGGAGGCAGCAGGGGGGAAUAUUGCACAAUGGGCGCAAGCCUGAUGCAGCUACGCCGCGUGGGGGAUGACGGCCUUCGGGUUGGAAACUCCUUUCGCUAGGGACGAAGCUUUUUGUGACGGUACCUAGAGAAGAAGCACCGGCUAACUACGUG